GCGGGUUUAGCUCAGUUGGGAGAGCGUCAGACUGAAGCUAACUUCAGUAAGUCAAUCUGAAGGUCGUGUGUUCGAUCCACACAAACCGCA
rnacentral:tRNA from 2 species